ACGCUGGCGGCAGGCCUAACACAUGCAAGUCGAGCGGUAGAGAGAAGCUUGCUUCUCUUGAGAGCGGCGGACGGGUGAGUAAUGCCUAGGAAUCUGCCUGGUAGUGGGGGAUAACGUUCGGAAACGGACGCUAAUACCGCAUACGUCCUACGGGAGAAAGCAGGGGACCUUCGGGCCUUGCGCUAUCAGAUGAGCCUAGGUCGGAUUAGCUAGUUGGUGAGGUAAUGGCUCACCAAGGCGACGAUCCGUAACUGAUCUGAGAGGAUGAUCAGUCACACUGGAACUGAGACACGGUCCAGACUCCUACGGGAGGCAGCAGUGGGGAAUAUUGGACAAUGGGCGAAAGCCUGAUCCAGCCAUGCCGCGUGUGUGAAGAAGGUCUUCGGAUUGUAAAGCACUUUAAGUUGGGAGGAAGGGUUGUAGAUUAAUACUCUGCAAUUUUGACGUUACCGACAGAAUAAGCACCGGCUAACUCUGUGCCAGCAGCCGCGGUAAUACAGAGGGUGCAAGCGUUAAUCGGAAUUACUGGGCGUAAAGCGCGCGUAGGUGGUUUGUUAAGUUGGAUGUGAAAUCCCCGGGCUCAACCUGGGAACUGCAUUCAAAACUGACUGACUAGAGUAUGGUAGAGGGUGGUGGAAUUUCCUGUGUAGCGGUGAAAUGCGUAGAUAUAGGAAGGAACACCAGUGGCGAAGGCGACCACCUGGACUAAUACUGACACUGAGGUGCGAAAGCGUGGGGAGCAAAC
rnacentral:rRNA from 1 species